rnacentral:misc_RNA from 1 species
AACGCACGAGACCUGCGGACCUGCGGAAGGAUCAUUACCGAGUUUACAACUCCCAAACCCCAAUGUGAACAUUACCUUUACUGUUGCUUCGGCGGGAUCGCCCCGGGCGCGGCCGAGAGGCCCAGCCCCGGACCCAACGUGCGCCCGCCGGAGGACCCCCAGACUCCAUGUUUCUUGCAAGGUAUUUCUGAGCUGCUCCUAGCGAGCAAAACAAAAAAUGAAUCAAAACUUUCAACAACG